AGAAUCAACGCUGGCGGCGUGCCUAACACAUGCAAGUCGCACGAGAAAGGGGCUUCGGCUCUGAGUAAAGUGGCGCACGGGUGAGUAACACGUGAAUUAUCUACCUCCGAGUGGGGAAUAACUGAGAGAAAUCUUAGCUAAUACCGCAUAACACUACGAGUCAAAGCAGCAAUGCGCUUGGAGAGGAGUUCGCGGCCGAUUAGUUAGUUGGCGGGGUAAUGGCCCACCAAGACGAUGAUCGGUA
rnacentral:rRNA from 1 species